rnacentral:rRNA from 1 species
AAAACAUUGACGAACGCUGGCGGCGUGCUUAACACAUGCAAGUCGAACGAUGAACCAGGAGCUUGCUCUUGGGGAUUAGUGGCGAACGGGUGAGUAACACGUGAGUAACCUGCCCUUGACUCUGGGAUAACCUCCGGAAACGGAAGCUAAUACCGGAUACGAACUGCGAAGGCAUCUUCAGCAGUUGGAAAGAACUUCGGUCAAGGAUGGACUCGCGGCCUAUCAGGUAGUUGGUGAGGUAACGGCUCACCAAGCCUACGACGGGUAGCCGGCCUGAGAGGGUGACCGGCCACACUGGGACUGAGACACGGCCCAG